rnacentral:rRNA from 1 species
CGCGUAGGCGGCAUUGUUAGUCACUUGUGAAAUCUCCGGGCUUAACUCGGAAUGGCCAAGUGAUACUGCAGUGCUAGAGUGCGGAAGGGGCAAUCGGAAUUCUUGGUGUAGCGGUGAAAUGCGUAGAUAUCAAGAGGAACACCUGAGGUGAAGACGGGUUGCUGGGCCGACACUGACGCUGAGGCGCAAGCCAGGGAGCAAACG